AGACAAUUAACUUGUGUAUUUAAUUCUAGUUUUGCUAUUUCUAGAUUUUCUAAUAGAUUUUUUAAAGAUUGUGAAAUAAACAGGACUCUUCGCCUAUUAUUUUACUUUGAAUAAGGGUACUUCACCCUGGAGAAAUCUAUGGAAAUUGAUAAUUCCGCCCUAUCAAAGGAGGUCCUCGCUCAACCAACCUUCUGACUUCCUCGUUGUUAAUAGUUCUAGACCACAUACCAGGAUCCUCUGAUAGAAGAAUGGUACUUGUCAUCUCAGGGCCCAUUUCAGUCAAGGCUUCCGUUUCAUCUUCACUUGUAGCCUCUGUUGUUAAGUUGGAGAUACGGGCAUUACAUCGAUUAAAUAACAGAGGACGCGGACUAUAAUAGGUUGCUGGCAAACGACAUAUGCUGCGUUCUAGAUUUUUGGUCGCUGGAUAUCGAUCGGGCGCUAGCUUCACAGAUAUGAAAAAAUAUCUAGAACAACAACACAAGGUGACAACGUCGGAUACGUGCAUGAUAAAGAUA